rnacentral:rRNA from 1 species
CCUUGCUUGACUAAGGCUCCGGAGGAAGCCACGGCUAACUCUGUGCCAGCAGCCGCGGUAAUACAGAGGCGGCAAGCGUUGUUCGGAAUUAUUGGGCGUAAAGAGCACGUAGGCGGCUUUGUAAGUCAGUUGUGAAAGCCUUCUGCUCAACGGAAGAACAGCAUCUGAUACUGCAAGGCUAGAGUGCGGAAGGGGAGAGUGGAACUUCUGGU